UACUCACCAUCUCCUCCCAGGCCUAACCCCUGAUGUAUGGACUCCAUCUUCCAGAGAUAAGGAUGUUUUUAUUUUUAUUCUAAGACAGGAAGAAGUUUAAACUGAAGGUUUGAUAGUGGGGAAGCAGAAUGAGGUAAAAGAAAGAGAAGAAUGUCAUGAAAACACUGGAAACCAUAGAGAAAUAUGAAGAAGCAAAGUACCCAAUAGCUUUUGUUCAGUAGGGAACUAGUUUUCUACCUGAGAGAAUCUGUAGGUUUGCAUACAUCUUAGAAACUUGGCAGUUGGAUGUGGAUGCAUUUAGAUCUGGGAGAGAAUAAAUAGACUGUGUCAAAUUUGAAACACUUCCAAUUACUGCUUGUUUCCUGUCAGAGGACAGCUUUUUUGGAGUCCAAUGGUGUCGAGAGCUGUCAGCUUGAAGCUAGCAAGAUUUGGAUACCAGCUGUUCUCACUUCAUACCAAGAUCCAGAGAGUGGCUAGGAUCUUCUGAUGAGAUCUCCCACAUGUCUUUGUUGGUAAUACAAGAGCUUGAUUGCAGUAUAUUCCGGGAAAUCCUUCUGGACUGGGAAGUGAUAAAAUGGAGACAAUAUCUCAGAUUCUUCUGAGGAUCAAAGAGAAACACUGACUUUCUCCGCACUGCACGAGGGUAAUGAGGCUGGUGUAGUCUUUGGAUCCAGU